rnacentral:tRNA from 1 species
GCCCAGGUGGUGAAAUUGGUAGACACGCACGCUUGAGGGGCGUGUGGCCGAAAGGCUAUGCUGGUUCGAGUCCAGUCCUGGGCA